GUCAUAGAACAUCGACUCAUGGAGGUUUGACUGUACGUUCCAAGAAAUAAACCCGAUUUCAAUAACGAUUGCCCAUCAACAACAUGAGUAAAAACACGCACGAUUUCACUCACCGUUAACACAAAAUUGAAGUGAAAGCGCGAAUCUACGAAUCCAUCAAAUUUCCACCUUUCCUCAUUUCCACAUUCAUAAACCCAUCUCUGGUCGCAUUAGAAGCUUUGUUGGAAAGAACACUUGAAAUAACGAGUCGGUCGGAUGGAUGAAUGCUUUACGUUGUUGGUUGGUUGACACCGACGGUGACGACGACGACGACGACACCGACGUCUGAGGUGCGCAAAUAUGAUGGCAAAGCGGGAGCUCUGUGUUAUUCCGGCUGCGACAGCAGGCGAUCCGUGUCAUGGAAGGAAUCUCACACCAUCCGACGAAUCCGACUGCUCCCGGGAGUGGGAAGAUUCAUCAUCUUGAUAUAAUAAAUGUAUUAGGUAUUGGGAGAGUGUGAGCCGGAAUUUUAAUAAGAUUACUGUUAAGUUUGAGCUCGAC